GAAAGUUGUCAUCAUGUCCUUGUCAUCAUGUCCUUGCCUAGCUAAGGGGAAACUCCAAACACCGAAGUUGGUGGCAGAACUGUUUGAGGGAGGACUAUACUUACAGACCGUUGGCUAUGACAGCAUGUACAAUAACCAGUUUAACUUGUAUUCAGCAUGAAAAGGGACAAGGUGUAAUAGAAGAAAAUGAAGUUUACAGCAACACCCUGGCUGGCGUCUGGGUGACAACUGGCAGCACGCCAGUACUAAGAAGAAAUCGGAUACACAGUGGCAAGCAGGUAAGAUUGCUUACUUGGUCUUCUUUGGAUCAGUAAUGCUUUAUUAAAA
rnacentral:lncRNA from 1 species